UUUAAAAGCGUGCUAAUAUAGUAUAGCGUCACAUUUGAAAGCAUCGGUUAAAACUUUGGGAAAUGAAGAGUCACUGCAACAGAAUUAGAUUAUAGUGAUACAUUUUUUGAAUACUUUUAUGUAAGUGUUCUAUUUAUAUUAAAUUUUUUUUUAAAAAUCUAUUAACACCUAAAUAUAAACCCCAAUCUAAUCAAAAAUAAAAAGUUCUUUUACUCAACCAACCCAGCCAGCCUACUUGGUCCAAUGACAAAUAGAAAAGGAAAAAAAGAAAAAGACAAAUUGAUCACCAUUUCCUCUUCUCCUCCUUCACCGCUGUAGCCGACGAGGUAGGAUUCCAGCGGCUAGAGUUUGGCCGCGAGGAUCUCGCAAGAACCGUACAGAGUUACGAUUGCUACGUGUCCCUCCAUCACAAGUCGCUGGAGGAAUAUGUACCAAACAUCAAGGCGACCCUACAAAUAGCGAUCACACAUAUAGCAAUACUUUUAAAAAGUGUGGGUAAUUUAGCCACCAACAAUUUUUUUGACCUGUACCGAUAUUUAAAAAUGUCAUUAUACACCGUUUUUAUUGUGGUGAGUCAUCACGUAUAUAUUGACGCUUAUGCCAAGCGUCCGUACAAUAUAUUCCGACGCUAUAAAGCGUUAGAAUUUUCAGAAUUUUUUGAAAUCUUGACACUUUAAAGCAUCAAAAACUAAAAAUAAUUGCAAAAUUUAUCAUUUAAUAAAUUAGUUUGAUACAAUAGAGAGUUCAUGUGACAAUACUUUUUGAAGCAUUAGUAUUUACUGUAUUAUAGGGACGCUUCUUCCAAGCAUCGUUUAAAAAGCGUCCUUAUAAUGAAAUUUUUUUGUAGUGACUAAGAGAGUAUUUGGAAAUUAGGAUU
rnacentral:lncRNA from 1 species